rfam:Geobacteraceae bacterium GWB2_52_12 GWB2_Geobacter-like_52_12_gwb2_scaffold_20476, whole genome shotgun sequence.
CGCCAAGAACCACGAGGAUAGUCUCCCCUUGUGGAUCGGGCACAUUACAAAGAUGAAGGAG